CCCUAGUGACCGAUAGUGAACCAGUACCGUGAGGGAAAGGUGAAAAGCACCCCGGGAGGGGAGUGAAAUAGAACCUGAAACCGUGCGCCUACAACAAGUUCGAGCCCGUUGAUGGGUGAGAGCGUGCCUUUUGUAGAAUGAACCGGCGAGUUACGUUAUGAUGCGAGGUUAAGUUGAAGAGACGGAGCCGUAGGGAAGCCGAGUCUGAAUAGGGCGCCUUAGUAUCAUGACGUAGACCCGAAACCAUGUGACCUACCCAUGAGCAGGUUGAAGGUGCGGUAAGACGCACUGGAGGACCGAACCAGGGCACGUUGAAAAGUGCUUGGAUGACUUGUGGGUAGCGGAGAAAUUCCAAACGAACUUGGAGAUAGCUGGUUCUCUCCGAAUAGCUUUAGGGUCGUAGCGUCGACAUUAGAGAUUCUUGGAGGUAGAGCACUGUUUGGGUGAGGGGUCCAUCCCGGAUUACCAAUCUCAGAUAAACUCCGAAUGCCAAUGAAUUAUGGUCGGCAGUCAGACUGCGAGUGCUAAGAUCCGUAGUCGAAAGGGAAACAGCCCAGACCACCAGCUAAGGUCCCAAAAUAAUUGUUAAGUGGAAAAGGAUGUGGGGUUGCACAGACAACUAGGAUGUUAGCUUAGAAGCAGCUAUUCAUUCAAAGAGUGCGUAAUAGCUCACUAGUCGAGUGACCCUGCGCCGAAAAUGUACCGGGGCUAAAACAAUUUACCGAAGCUGUGGAUACCUUUAUAGGUAUGGUAGGAGAGCGUUCUAUGUGUGAUGAAGGUAUACCGUGAGGAGUGCUGGAACGCAUAGAAGUGAGAAUGCCGGUAUGAGUAGCGAAAGACAGGUGAGAAUCCUGUCCACCGUAAGACUAAGGUUUCCAGGGGAAGGCUCGUCCGCCCUGGGUUAGUCGGGACCUAAGGAGAGACCGAAAGGUGUAUCCGAUGGACAACAGGUUGAUAUUCCUGUACUAGAGUAUGUAGUGAUGGAGGGACGCAGUAGGCUAACUAAAGCAGACGAUUGGAAGAGUCUGUCUAAGCAGUGAGGUGUGAAUUGAGUCAAAUGCUUAAUUCUAUAACAUUGAGCUGUGAUGGGGAGCGAAGUUUAGUAGCGAAGUUAGUGACGUCACACUGCCAAGAAAAGCUUCUAGCGUUUAAACAUACUCUACCCGUACCGCAAACCGACACAGGUAGUCGAGGCGAGUAGCCUCAGGUGAGCGAGAGAACUCUCGUUAAGGAACUCGGCAAAAUGACCCCGUAACUUCGGGAGAAGGGGUGCUGACUUAAAGUCAGCCGCAGUGAAUAGGCCCAAGCAACUGUUUAUCAAAAACACAGCUCUCUGCUAAAUCGUAAGAUGAUGUAUAGGGGGUGACGCCUGCCCGGUGCUGGAAGGUUAAGAGGAGUGCUUAGCGUAAGCGAAGGUAUGAAUUGAAGCCCCAGUAAACGGCGGCCGUAACUAUAACGGUCCUAAGGUAGCGAAAUUCCUUGUCGGGUAAGUUCCGACCCGCACGAAAGGCGUAAUGAUUUGGGCACUGUCUCAACGAGAGACUCGGUGAAAUUUUAGUACCUGUGAAGAUGCAGGUUACCCGCGACAGGACGGAAAGACCCCAUGGAGCUUUACUGCAGUUUGAUAUUGAGUGUCUGUACCACAUGUACAGGAUAGGUAGGAGUCUAAGAGAUCGGGACGCCAGUUUCGAAGGAGACGCUGUUGGGAUACUACCCUUGUGUUAUGGCCACUCUAACCCAGAUAGGUGAUCCCUAUCGGAGACAGUGUCUGACGGGCAGUUUGACUGGGGCGGUCGCCUCCUAAAAGGUAACGGAGGCGCCCAAAGGUUCCCUCAGAAUGGUUGGAAAUCAUUCGCAGAGUGUAAAGGUAUAAGGGAGCUUGACUGCGAGAGCUACAACUCGAGCAGGGACGAAAGUCGGGCUUAGUGAUCCGGUGGUUCCGUAUGGAAGGGCCAUCGCUCAACGGAUAAAAGCUACCCUGGGGAUAACAGGCUUAUCUCCCCCAAGAGUUCACAUCGACGGGGAGGUUUGGCACCUCGAUGUCGGCUCGUCGCAUCCUGGGGCUGUAGUCGGUCCCAAGGGUUGGGCUGUUCGCCCAUUAAAGCGGCACGCGAGCUGGGUUCAGAACGUCGUGAGACAGUUCGGUCCCUAUCCGUCGCGGGCGUAGGAAAUUUGAGAGGAUCUGCUCCUAGUACGAGAGGACCAGAGUGGACUUACCGCUGGUGUACCAGUUGUCUUGCCAAAGGCAUCGCUGGGUAGCUAUGUAGGGAAGGGAUAAACGCUGAAAGCAUCUAAGUGUGAAACCCACCUCAAGAUGAGAUUUCCCAUGAUUAU
rnacentral:rRNA from 1 species